CCUACGGGUGGCAGCAGUGGGGAAUAUUGCACAAUGGGGGAAACCCUGAUGCAGCGACGCCGCGUGAGUGAAGAAGUAAUUCGUUAUGUAAAGCUCUAUCAGCAGGGAAGAAAAUGACGGUACCUGAGUAAGAAGCCCCGGCGAACUACGUGCCAGCAGCCGCGGUCAUACGUAGGGGGCCAGCGUUAUUCGGAUUUACUGGGUGGAAAGGGGGCGUAGGCGGGAGUGCAAGUCUGGAGUGAAAGGCGGGGGGUCAACCCCCGGACUGCGCUGGAAACUGUACGGCUGGAGUGCAGGAGAGGUAAGUGGAAUUCCUGGUGUAGCGGUGAAAUGCGUAGAUAUUAGGAGGAACACCAGUGGCGAAGGCGGCUUACUGGACUGUAACUGACGUUGAGGCUCGAAAGCGUGGGGAGCGAACAGGAUUAGAUACCCCAGUAGUC
rnacentral:rRNA from 1 species